rnacentral:pre_miRNA from 1 species
CGGCGGGGGGUGUCGCGGGGGUGGGCGGGCUGGGGCCGGGGGUGGGGCCGGCGGGGGCACGACCCCCGGUCGGCGUCCACGGCCGCCGCCGGGCGCCUUUCCACCGC